UGGGGAAUAUUGGACAAUGGGCGCAAGCCUGAUCCAGCCAUGCCGCGUGAGUGACGAAGGCCUUAGGGUUGUAAAGCUCUUUUGGCGGGGACGAUAAUGACGGUACCCGCAGAAUAAGCCCCGGCUAACUUCGUGCCAGCAGCCGCGGUAAUACGAAGGGGGCUAGCGUUGUUCGGAAUCACUGGGCGUAAAGGGCACGUAGGCGGAUGUGCCAGUCAGGGGUGAAAUCCCGGAGCUCAACUCCGGAACUGCCUCUGAUACUGCACGUCUUGAGUUCGAGAGAGGUGGGUGGAAUUCCUAGUGUAGAGGUGAAAUUCGUAGAUAUUAGGAAGAACACCGGUGGCGAAGGCGGCCCACUGGCUCGGUACUGACGCUCAUGCACGAAAGCGUGGGGAGCAAACAGGAUUAGAUACCCAUGUAGUCCCUGAGCGGGCUGGCAAGGCGCAU
rnacentral:rRNA from 1 species